rnacentral:rRNA from 1 species
UACGGAGGGUGCAAACGUUGCUCGGAAUCAUUGGGCGUAAAGCGCACGUAGGCGCCUGUUAAGUCGGGUGUGAAAGCCCUGGGCUCAACCCAGGAAGUGCACUCGAAACUGGCAGGCUUGAAUAUGGAAGAGGGUCGCGGAAUUCCCGGUGUAGAGGUGAAAUUCGUAGAUAUCGGGAGGAAACACCAGUGGGCGAAGGCGGCGACCUGGGGCCAAUAUUGACGCUGAGGUGCGAAAAGCGUGGGGAGCAAACAGGG